rnacentral:rRNA from 1 species
UUGGAGAGUUUGAUCCUGGCUCAGGACGAACGCUGGCGGCGUGCUUAACACAUGCAAGUCGAACGAAGAGCGAUGGAAGCUUGCUUCUAUCAAUCUUAGUGGCGAACGGGUGAGUAACGCGUAAUCAACCUGCCCUUCAGAGGGGGACAACAGUUGGAAACGACUGCUAAUACCGCAUACGAUCUAACCUCGGCAUCGAGGAAAGAUGAAAGGUGGCCUCUAUGUAUAAGCUAUCACUGAAGGAGGGGAUUGCGUCUGAUUAGCUAGUUGGAGGGGUAACGGCCCACCAAGGCGAUGAUCAGUAGCCGGUCUGAGAGGAUGAACGGCCACAUUGGGACUGAGACACGGCCCAGACUCCUACGGGAGGCAGCAGUGGGGAAUCUUCCGCAAUGGACGAAAGUCUGACGGAGCAACGCCGCGUGAGUGAUGACGGCCUUCGGGUUGUAAAGCUCUGUUAAUCGGGACGAAAGGCCUUCUUGCGAAUAGUGAGAAGGAUUGACGGUACCGGAAUAGAAAGCCACGGCUAACUACGUGCCAGCAGCCGCGGUAAUACGUAGGUGGCAAGCGUUGUCCGGAAUUAUUGGGCGUAAAGCGCGCGCAGGCGGAU